rnacentral:rRNA from 1 species
GAUGAACGCUGGCGGCGUGCCUAAUACAUGCAAGUCGAGCGAACAGACGAGGAGCUUGCUCCUUUGACGUUAGCGGCGGACGGGUGAGUAACACGUAGGUAACCUACCUAUAAGACUGGGAUAACUUCGGGAAACCGGAGCUAAUACCGGAUAAUAUUUCGAACCGCAUGGUUCGAUAGUGAAAGAUGGCUUUGCUAUCACUUAUAGAUGGACCUGCGCCGUAUUAGCUAGUUGGUAAGGUAACGGCUUACCAAGGCAACGAUACGUAGCCGACCUGUGAGGGUGAUCGGCCACACUGGAACUGAGACACGGUCCAGACUCCUACGGGAGGCAGCAGUAGGGAAUCUUCCGCAAUGGGCGAAAGCCUGACGGAGCAACGCCGCGUGAGUGAUGAAGGUCUUCGGAUCGUAAAACUCUGUUAUUAGGGAAGAACAAACGUGUAAGUAACUGUGCACGUCUUGACGGUACCUAAUCAGAAAGCCACGGCUAACUACGUG